GACGAACCGUGCGAACGUUGUUCGGAUUCACUGGGCUUAAAGGGCGCGUAGGCGGGCUUGUAAGUCAGGGGUGAAAUCCUCCGGCUCAACCGGAGAACAGCCUUUGAUACUGCAAGUCUUGAGGGAGAUAGGGGUCUGCGGAACUUCCGGUGGAGCGGUGAAAUGCGUAGAUAUCGGAAGGAACGCCGGUGGCGAAAGCGGCGGACUGGAUCUCAUCUGACGCUGAGGCGCGAAAGCUAGGGGAGCGAACGGGG
rnacentral:rRNA from 1 species